rnacentral:rRNA from 1 species
GGGGAAUAUUGGGCAAUGGACGCAAGUCUGACCCAGCAACGCCGCGUGAAGGAAGAAGGCUUUCGGGUUGUAAACUUCUUUUAAGGGGGAAGAGUAGAAGACGGUACCCCUUGAAUAAGCCACGGCUAACUACGUGCCAGCAGCCGCGGUAAUACGUAGGUGGCAAGCGUUGUCCGGAUUUACUGGGUGUAAAGGGCGUGUAGCCGGGAAGGUAAGUCAGAUGUGAAAUCUGGGGGCUCAACCUCCAAACUGCAUUUGAAACUACUUUUCUUGAGGAACGGAGGGGUAAUCGGAAUUCCCUGUGGAGCGGUGAAAUGGGUAGAUAAAAAGAAAAAAACCAAGGGCGAAGGCGGAUUACUGGACGGCAACUGAAGGUGAGGCGGGAAAGCGUGGGGAGCAAACA